AACGAACGCUGGCGGCAUGCCUAACACAUGCAAGUCGAACGAGACCUUCGGAUCUAGUGGCGCACGGGUGCGUAACGCGUGGGAACCUGCCCUUGGGUUCGGAAUAACUCCCCGAAAGGGGUGCUAAUACCGGAUAAUGUCUUCGGACCAAAGAUUUAUCGCCUUUGGAUGGGCCCGCGUUGGAUUAGCUAGUUGGUAGGGUAAAAGCCUACCAAGGCGACGAUCCAUAGCUGGUCUGAGAGGAUGAUCAGCCACACUGGGACUGAGACACGGCCCAGACUCCUACGGGAGGCAGCAGUGGGGAAUAUUGGACAAUGGGCGAAAGCCUGAUCCAGCAAUGCCGCGUGAGUGAUGAAGGCCUUAGGGUUGUAAAGCUCUUUUACCCGGGAUGAUAAUGACAGUACCGGGAGAAUAAGCUCCGGCUAACUCCGUG
rnacentral:rRNA from 1 species